GGAGGGAUGGCCGAGCGGUCGAAGGCGACGGUCUUGAAAACCGUUAGGUGAAAGCCUCGGGGGUUCGAAUCCCUCUCCCUCCGCCA
rnacentral:tRNA from 1 species